CCUGGCCCUGGUGAGGGGUGGAAACCGCUGCGAGGGCCUCCUGCAGGUGCAGUCCCUGGGGCAGCAGGGCCUGGUGUGUGGGGACCGCUGGGGCCUGCGGGAGGCGUCUGUGAUUUGCAGGCAGCUGGGCUGCGGUCGUGCCCUCUAUGUCCCCACAUACGUGGUGUGGCCCCAGGAGGCCCAGCAGUCCUUGCUGCAGGGCGUGCAGUGCCAGGGUGUGGAGGCCUCGCUCUGGGACUGCUCCCUGGGGAAGUGGGGGUCGCCGCACGGCUGUGAGUGUGAGUGCAUCGGUGCAGUCCACUGCUCAGGGCCCAGACAGCACAGCACAACUGAGCAACACAUUACACACCCAGGCCAGCCCUGGCUGGGACUCCAGCCCGAGUUCAGUCCUUCUGGGUUCAAUUGACUCCUGGAGACCAUCAAGCACUGGGGGCCAGUGGUGACCACAGGACCUUCUGAGGUGAAGGGUCCCUCUCUUCCUUCCCUGAGUGGCUAGCAUGAGUAGAGGCACCAGCCUGGGGGCUCAGGCAGGUGUGAAGGCUGGUGCUGAGUGAGGUGCUCCCUCCUGGCCCUCAUCUCGGCUUUCUGCUCCUGUGCUCUCCCUUGUCAGGGCCCACUCAGGAGGCUCCGAGCUCCUGGAUCUGCCCCAGA
rnacentral:lncRNA from 1 species